rnacentral:lncRNA from 1 species
AGAGAAUUACUCCUGCAGGUGCUCUGAGCCCUGUAUUUCCAAUAUAGCUCCACUCCAUAAUUUGUAUACUCUUUUAAGUAGCAUUUUCUCAAAUUUCCAUUUGCUAAAGUGUCAUUUCCUACCCAAGUGCUGGAGCUCUCAGAGCCACAUUUCAUGACCCUUGUUUGACAGGAACUUUGCUAACAGAUGCAGGGAGGGACAGCCUUUGGAAUUCCUUGAGGUAAUGUUAUGUUAUACCAAAAAUAUCUACUAGGGUUUUACAGAAAUGCCAAACAUUUUCGUAGAGUCUUUGGAAUUCCUGUAGAAGGGUUUUACAUAGGAGCCAUCAUUUUUAGUGUACAAAUUAUACAUAUACAUAUACACACACAUAUACAUAUACAUCUACACACACACACAUAGGAUAUAUAUAUAUAUAGAACAUAUGUGUAUAUAUAGGAUUCCUGAAGAUGAUCAGCCAGCUACCUGGUGGCAGGUGGAUUAUAUUGGACGUCUUCCAUCAUGGAAAGGGCAGAGGUUGGUCAUCACUGGAAUAGAAACUUACUCUGGAUAUGGGUUUGCCUAUCCUGCAUGCAAUGCUUCUGCCAAGACUACCAUCCAUGGACUCAUGGAAUGCCUUAUCCACUGUCACAGUAUUCCACACAGCAUUGCCUCUGACCAAGGCACUCACUUUACAGCUAAAGAAGUGUGGCAGUGGGCUCAUGCUCAUGGAAUUCACUGGUUUUACCAUGUUCCCCAUCAUCCUGAAGCAGCUGGAUUGAUAGGACAGUGGAAUGGCUUUUUGAAGUCAUAGUUACAACGCCAACUAGGUAACAAUACUUUGCAGGGCUGGGGUUUACAAGGGGUGGACUUGUGAUGGCUAAUACCGAGUGUCAACUUGAUUAGAUUGGAGGCUACAAAGUAUUCAUCUUGGGUGUGUCUGUGAGGAUGUUGAUAAAAGAGACUAACAUUUGAGUCAGUGGGCUGGGAAAGGCAGAUCCACCCUUAGUGUGGUGGGCACAAUCUAAUCAGCUGCCAUCAAACACAAAAGCAGGCAGAAAAACAUGAAAAGGAGAGACUGACCUAGCCUCCUAGCCUAUGUCUUUCUCCUGUGCUGGAUGCUUCCUGCUGUCAAACACAGGACUCCAAAUUCCUGUUUGGGGACUUGGACUGUUUCUCUUUGCUCCUCAGCUUGCAGACAGCCUAUUGUAGGACCUUGUGAUUGCGUAAGUUAAUAUUUAAUAAAUUCCCCUAUAUAUAUGUAUACAUAUAUAUGCAUAUAGUGUAUAUAUACACAUAUAUAUGUGUAUAUAUACACAAAUAUAUAUAUGUGUGUGUGUGUGUAUAUUUUUAUAUAUAUACAUUUCGUAUUAGUUCUGUUCCUCUAGAGAACCCUGACUAAUACAAAAGUAUUGCUUAUAAGAGUUCUUUAGGUCUAGCCCAAGUGUGAUUUUUUAUGGGUUUACUGUCAAAAUUUCUGAGUCACUUAAAAAAAGAAUGUUCUCAGGUCAAAAGCAGAGACAUUAUUUUUGUAAGCUUUAUUAAUUGCUUUAAAUGAUUCAAUGUUUUAUUUUGCUUCACAUUUGUGAUUUUACCUUACUGUGCAAGUUUUAAAAAAUGUUUUUCCAGGAAUUUUGAAGUAUUUUUCUUUUUAUUGCAUUAUUUGCCUAUGUCAUAUUUUUAAGUGUUUUUCCAAAUGUUCAUGCAUUCCAUAAAGGGGAAUUCCCCUUUCAUUCCCAGAUAACUCUAUAAUUCUAUCUGGGAAUCCUGUUUUUUUU